UACGUAGGUGGCAAGCGUUGUCCGGAUUUAUUGGGCGUAAAGCGAGCGCAGGCGGUCUUUUAAGUCUGAUGUGAAAGCCCUCGGCUUAACCGGGGAGGGUCAUUGGAAACUGGGAGACUUGAGUGCAGAAGAGGAAAGCGGAAUUCCAUGUGUAGCGGUGAAAUGCGUAGAUAUAUGGAGGAACACCAGUGGCGAAGGCGGCUUUCUGGUCUGUAACUGACGCUGAGGCUCGAAAGCGUGGGGAGCAAACAGG
rnacentral:rRNA from 1 species